rnacentral:lncRNA from 1 species
UUAAUAAAUCCACUCUGUGUGAAUACUAAAAGGAAAAUGGAAAGGAGGGCAAAUAGAAUUAGCUGAUUUUCUCAUGAGGAAUCACAGUACCAACAAGAGCUCAGAUUAGCCAUAGCUGUGUGUGUGGCCAGGUGGGAGACACAGAAACUGUAAGCAGUACUGGUCAUGACCCCAUUCACGAGGCUGCUGAUCAAAACAGAAUGCAGUAAAACAACUGAGGCUGAGUGUGGUGGCUCACACCUGUAAUCCCAGCACUUUGGGAGGCUGAGGCGGGUAGGUCACUAUGUAAGGAGUUCAAGAAACUGGCUGAAACCAGCUAAAACCAAGAUGACAACAAAAACAAUCGCUAGUUGCCCUCAUUGCUCAUUUUACAGUAACUAUAAAGCAUUAGCAUACUAAAAGAUCAUAGGCAGAUGGAUGUCUGCACAAGGAAGCGUCCACUUCCCUUCAUUCACGAAGAGAAACUAAAUCUAACUUAUCUAACAGAAUGCUGAACCUUGUGGGAGGACAGUUGAAUGAACUGUCAAACACUCUGAAGCCUCA